rnacentral:lncRNA from 7 species
GUGUGUCUGCCCACAGCUUGGUGUCAUCAGCAAAUUUUCUGAGGGUGCACUCGACCCCACUGAUGAUGUUGCUGAUGAAGAUACUGAAGAGUGUCAGCCUCAGCAUGGACCCCUGUGGGACAACACUCAUCACCAAUUGCCAUCCAGACAUGGAGCCAUUGACUGCCGCUCUCUGGACUCAGUCCUGCAGCCGAUCUUUGUCCAUUCAACAGUCCACCCACCGAAUCCGUAUCUUUCCCAGCUUCCCAAAACAGCUUCCUAAAACUCAAUCCAAUCAAAAUUCUGUGCUGUCUAGUAACAAGGACUUCCAUCAGACUGAGAGCUCAGGCUUUACAGGCCAGUGGUGGAGCCAAGAGGGAGGCCUCUGGAUUUUCAGAAAGGACCGAGAAUCAGUGUAGUUUUGAGUUGUGCUGUGGAACAGAAUGUACAGCUGGAUCUAGAACAGUUGCCAAAGAAGUGUCCAUGGGCAAAUGGUGCUGGAUUUCCCAGGUGGAGAUCAUGAAGUUCCUUGCCUCCUUGCAAAGUGUUCUCAUAUUAUUCUUAUACAGCGUUGUAUGUUACUGCUGUACUAAGAUUUUUACUACAAAUCCAUUAUCUGUUUCCCAAAGGUAAUGGUGAUGCUGAGAAGCAUGCCUCAUGAUGACUUACACAUCCUUCAUGCUUCAUAUUAAUUCUUCCUUUGGGUCAAAAGUAGACUGAAAUUCUUGAAACCUUGCCUGGGAGUCCUGCUGUUGCUAAAAUGGUUCAGCCGUGGUGCCUGUGGUCAGAAUACCUUGUGGCAGACCCUGGCACUGGCUGUGAAUGAAAGAACUGAUGACAAAUUGCUCAAUAUCGAAAGCGAGCCAGUGCAUAUUUACAAGCCUUGGGUGAGCCAGAUGGAAUCUAAGAGGGAGAGGCCGGGUAGGAAAGCUGUUACUAUGAUGUUUCUUAGAAGACUUGCACGGCUGUUUUGCAUUGCUCUGUUAAUUGUUCCAAGGCACCCUUGGCUUCACUGCGUGCAAUUCAUACCAUAUUUUUUCAUCACCUCAGAUGCUGGCUGAAAUAUGUAUAUACAUGUGUAUAUAUAAAUGUAUAUGCAUACACAUAUUU